AAACUGUCCAUUUACUCCACCCAUUCUCUCUCUAACCCGUUUGGGGGAUUUCACAUCUGAAAGGACUGCUGUCUUACCUGAUGUAUCCGACCUGGGGUCGGUGCUGCAGGUACCAACGGUAGGAAACCUUGUCCUUCCAGCCCACGUUCCUGGGGUCCUUCCACAGCAGACGCACCUGGUCGUUGGUGUCCCCUGUGUGCCACAGGGAGUUCCUCAGGUGCUCCCCUGGACCUGACUUAGACUUCACAGCCUGGGGAUGGGGAGGGAGAGCGAGAUGGAGAGAGGAGAUAGCGAGGGAGAGAAGAUAAUUAAGAACUGGUCGGGGUUGGGCACCAGUCUGCAGUUGUCGGGUCCCGGUGCCAGGAAGUCAGGGAUGCUGUCGUUGUCGUCGUCAUCGUCACACUCAUCCCCCAGGCCGUCUUUGUCUGUGUCCAGCUGGGAGCUGUUGAUCACGUUGGGACAGUUGUCCUUGGUGUCCUGGUGACCGUCGCCAUCACUACAGACCAGGGGGUGACACACAGGGAGGAGGGACAGAAAAGAUAGGGUCAGGUCAUCACAUGAAUGGAUUUAGCCUGAGUGUUGCUGACAGCAAUGGAGUUAACAUCAUAAACAGAUCUGGGACUCAGGCUAGUAGGGAAUGGCUGGCAGUUAAGUAACAUUGGACUGGCAACCUAAUUUAUGCACUGUAUACUAAAAUAUACAGUAAAAUAGGAAUAUUUGUCAAAAUAAAGGGAUAUAUUGACUACUGCAAUCAUGAAUUGACUAAAAUAAAUUAAAUCAUAAAGUGGAUAUUUUAAGAGCAUACUUUUUCUCAAGUCAAAUACUUUUAAAAUAUGUUUUUCUUGUACCUGUCUUGAUUUGUGUCACAAGAAUCCCCAACCAGGUCAUGGUCAAUGUCGGACUAAAAUUAGAGCACAGAUUUGUUAAAACACUUUUUGACCACUCAGUAUAAUAUUUAUCACAGGGUAGGACAGUUCAGUUGCUCCAUAUCCCAUUUUAUAUCUGUAAACUGAACAGGUCUCAGAACCCUAAUGGACGCCUGUGGAAGCAGUCUGACCUGGUUAGGAUUAGGGAUAUCAGGGCAGCUGUCACAGGCAUCUCCCACUCCAUCUCCAUCCCGGUCCAACUGGUCCCGGUUCACCACCCGCUGGCAGUUAUCAAGGAAGUUCUUCAAGCCUGGAGACCAAUUCAAUUUGAGUUUGUCAAGUUUGAGUUUGUAAAGUUAUCUGACCAAUAGUAUCCCACCACUCUGCAGAAGUGUUGGUGAAAUACAUGAGUGCUUCAGCUUCAAGUGGACUCCUUUAGGAGCACUGCUUUGUGACAUAUGAACACCAGCGAUGGCUGUUCUAGAUAUUUCACAUUUAGAACAUGUGUGAAUCUCUGUUGGAUACAAGCAAAAAGUGAACUUUAAGUGUGGCCCAUGAGAAAAUCAUAAAACAUGAAUUGUAUGAUUGACAGCUUAACCACUGACGUUGAAUCAAUGCAUUGGGAUUUAAAAGCAAACUGCACGUGGUUGAUUCUAUUUCCAUUGAUAUGCUGUUUCUAAUAGUUCACUAGUUGUGCCACAGGGAGGCACUGUUGCAUUUGUCAUCUGAGUGAACUGUUGAAAUAUGGUGUGUGUGUCAUUUCUCAUUUAUCUCCGGAAAGCAACAGUACUGUGGCUGUAGCAUAAAGGUCAAGCCAUCUGUAGACAGGGUCUAU